GACGAACGCUGGCGGCGUGCUUAACACAUGCAAGUCGAACGGAAAGGCCCUGCUUGUGUGGGGUGCUCGAGUGGCGAACGGGUGAGUAACACGUGAGUAACCUGCCCUUGACUUUGGGAUAACUUCAGGAAACUGGGGCUAAUACCGGAUAGGAGCUCCUGCUGCAUGGUGGGGGUUGGAAAGUUUCGGCGGUUGGGGAUGGACUCGCGGCUUAUCAGCUUGUUGGUGGGGUAGUGGCUUACCAAGGCUUUGACGGGUAGCCGGCCUGAGAGGGUGACCGGCCACAUUGGGACUGAGAGACGGACCAGACUCCUACGGGAGGCAGCAGUGGGGAAUAUUGCACAAUGGGGGGAAGCCUGAUGCAGCAGCGCCGCGUGCGGGAUGACGGCCUUCGGGUUGUAAACCGCUGUCGCCUGUGACGAAGCGUGAGUGACGGUAAUGGGUAAAGAAGCACCGGCUAACUACGUG
rnacentral:rRNA from 1 species